GCUGAUUUCUUCUAUAUGGAAACAUCAUUGAAUGGGGGAAUGGGAACAGCAACUCUUCCCAGCCCUUAUUUUCUACCUUUCCCACAGAGACAACUUGCAAUGGUUGUGGUGGCAUUCAGUGGAAACAGAUGUUUCCUCUUUCUCAAAUGAUCUUUUGUAUGUUAAUAUUACUCCCCUGAAAGCCUUCCUUAGGCAUCCCAGAGCAUUUAACAUAUAGCAUUUUAAUAAAACAUUGCAAUUGAGAUCUCCUAUAGGACAGAAGCUCUUUCACUUCAGGUUUAUUUUACUUACUUCUAAAAUGUUAUGAUUAUCUUUUAAAUCUGUUUUCUCAACACUUGUUCCAGAGCUUAGCUCAUCAAAAGUUUUCAGUAAAUAGUUUGUGGAAGUACAAAUAACUCAAUAAGAAUAUGGAGUAUGAGCAUUUUCUAUCCCAGUUCAGAAGAACUCUUGGCACUUGCUCCUCUUUGUACCCUGAUUACAGGGAUUUUUUUUUUUCCCCCUUAUCUGGAACACAGGGAGGAGCAGGGGUGGAGUGGGAACUAGACAUCACUUGUUUGUUACCAACUAUGUGGAACUAAGAUCCAAGAAGUAAUAAAAAGGAAGUUCAUGGAGACAGGUAAUAUAAUUUGUAGUUUUGUGUUCACAGAUGGAACUGUGGGACUCUCCUUUAUGGGACAGGGUCAAAGGUUUGGGGAGAAAGAGCAAAUAAUUCUUUUUCAUUCUCUUCAAAUACAAAUAUAAUUGGGAAAAUAUAAAUCAAUGAGUCAGAUUAAGACCUCUAAGUAAUUUAAACUGCUCUUCUUUGCAGUUUUAUCAGCAUUUCUGAAAAAUCAAGUUUUCAGUCAUGAAGAUUAGAAAGACAAUGGAAUUGAUGGCCCACUAAAAGGAAUUAAUACCAUUUUUAGUGUGAAAAGGUGAUUGGAUCAAACAUUUUAUGUCUUUAAGUCACAGUUUUCUCAUCAAAAAUGAAGAUAAGGACAACUGCUUUCUCCAUCUUCUGAAGACACAUGCAGAGGCUGAGAAGUCCCAAGAUCUGCAGACAGCAAGUGGAAGACCCAGAUAUAGUGGUAUAGAGUACUGGUACAAGACCCAAGAACUGAGUUUUCAUUUUGUAUUUGAAGGCAAAAGAAGACCAAAAUCCCACCUCAAGUAGUCAGAGAGGGUGCUCUUGAGAGCACAGCAAAAAGAAGAGAUCUAAUCAGUUGUUAAGAAACAGCUCUGAGUGGAGAUGUGGAAGAUGAAUGUAAGUUAAUUGAG